rnacentral:rRNA from 1 species
GAUGAACGCUGGCGGCGUGCCUAAUACAUGCAAGUCGAGCGAACAGACGAGGAGCUUGCUCCUCUGACGUUAGCGGCGGACGGGUGAGUAACACGUGGAUAACCUACCUAUAAGACUGGGAUAACUUCGGGAAACCGGAGCUAAUACCGGAUAAUAUAUUGAACCGCAUGGUUCAAUAGUGAAAGACGGAUUUGCUGUCACUUAUAGAUGGAUCCGCGCCGCAUUAGCUAGUUGGUAAGGUAACGGCCUACCAAGGCGACGAUGCGUAGCCGACCUGAGAGGGUGAUCGGCCACACUGGAACUGAGACACGGUCCAGACUCCUACGGGAGGCAGCAGUAGGGAAUCUUCCGCAAUGGGCGAAAGCCUGACGGAGCAACGCCGCGUGAGUGAUGAAGGUCUUCGGAUCGUAAAACUCUGUUAUUAGGGAAGAACAAAUGUGUAAGUAACUAUGCACGUCUUGACGGUACCUAAUCAGAAAGCCACGGCUAACUACGUG